rnacentral:rRNA from 1 species
AGUGAACGCUGGCGGUAGGCCUAACACAUGCAAGUCGAACGGCAGCACAGUAAGAGCUUGCUCUUACGGGUGGCGAGUGGCGGACGGGUGAGGAAUACAUCGAAAUCUACUUUUUCGUGGGGGAUAACGUAGGGAAACUUACGCUAAUACCGCAUACGACCUACGGGUGAAAGCAGGGGAUCUUCGGACCUUGCGCGAUUGAAUGAGCCGAUGUCGGAUUAGCUAGUUGGCGGGGUAAAGGCCCACCAAGGCGACGAUCCGUAGCUGGUCUGAGAGGAUGAUCAGCCACACUGGAACUGAGACACGGUCCAGACCCCUACGGGAGGCAGCAGUGGGGAAUAUUGGACAAUGGGCGCAAGCCUGAUCCAGCCAUACCGCGUGGGUGAAGAAGGCCUUCGGGUUGUAAAGCCCUUUUGUUGGGAAAGAAAGGCAGCAGGUUAAUACCCCGCUGUUCUGACGGUACCCAAAGAAUAAGCACCGGCUAACUUCGUG